rnacentral:rRNA from 1 species
UGAGGGAUAUUGCACAAUGGGGGAAACCCUGAUGCAGCGACGCCGCGUGGGUGAAGAAGGUCUUCGGAUCGUAAAGCCCUUUUCUGCGGGAAGAGGCAGGACGGUACCGCAGGAAGAAGUCUCGGCUAACUACGUGCCAGCAGCCGCGGUAAAACGUAGGAGACAAGCGUUAUCCGGAGUUACUGGGCGUAAAGGGCGUGCAGGUGGCGCAGUAAGUCUGUUGUGAAAGCCCCUGGCUUAACCGGGGGAGGCCAAUGGAGACUGCUGAGCUAGAGGACGGUAGAGGCGUGUGGAAUUCCGGGUGUAGUGGUGAAAUGCGUAGAGAUCCGGAGGAACACCAGAGGCGAAGGCGGCACGCUAGGCCGUACCUGACACUGAGACGCGACAGCAUGGGGAGCGAACGGGAUUAGAAACCCCGGUAGUCCAUGCCGUAAACGAUGCCAGCUAGACGUUCAGGCCGCAAGCGCGGACUGGGUGUCGCAGCCAACGCGAUAAGCUGG